AAACGCUACCGUUUCCGGAAAAAACGCAGGAGUGGCCGGAGAAACGGUGGGAGUGCCUGGGCGAACGCUGGGUGUGUUUAUGACGUCAGCCAGGAACGAAAAGCACUGAACUGAUCGCACAGGCAGAGAAGGAUGUCGGACUACAACACCACCAGCACCUCAGACACGUCGCUCUGAUGACAGAAACAACGCAGAGAAAGCCUGAGUAUGGAGGAGCCACACAGAGGAGAAAUGCUGAGCGCUGCUGCUGCCAUAGACCGGGCAGAUCCCCACCCGUCACCCUGCUUGUCUUCUGCU